rnacentral:lncRNA from 1 species
UUUCUGUAGAGCCGGCGUUUUGCCCUGUUGCCCAGGAGUUUUUCCUUUAAUGUUCUCCUGCUACUUACUAAUUCACUUUGUCACCCUGUGAGCUCAUAAGAGCAGAGAGAUAGCAACAGGAGCUAAAAAAACUCUAAGCUGUGAAAAAAUAUUAAAUAUGAAAUCAUGAUAGCUAUUAGCUUAAUUUGUUUUAGGCAAAUUGCAAAGUAAUUUUUUGGGAAUCAGUGUCCCACUGCAGUGAUUCCAUAUGGGGAUUCCUAAUUCCCAGUAUGUUUUUAAAAUAAUUUGUAAACACCUAGUACAAACGCAUGAUAUGAAAUUCAAGAGGUGGGAGGAUCACCUGAGCCCAGGAGGUUGAGACUUGCAGUGAGCUGAGUUCACACCACUGCACUCGAGCCUUGAUGACAGAAUGAGACUGUCUCAAAAAAAAAAAAAAAAAAAAAUUGUCCUUAAGUCCAUGUGGACCCCUGACUAGGUUUGUGCCCUAGACAGCCUUCCUCUGAGGGCAGUUCAGGUGGUGAGACUCCAGCUUUAAAUGGCCUCUAGAGAAAUUUCACUAACCUGCCUUGGUGUUUGACCCUGUAUAACCCCUUUCUUCUGGAGGUCCCUUUGGGUGGCAGUAGAUACGGGAUUUGGUGUCUGACAGCUCUGGGGACAGAUCCCAGCUCCAAAUGGCAGAGUCUCUACAGAUUACAAGCCAAAUACUUAGCACUAUGUGCUGAUCUUCAGGAAGUCAGUCUAUAUUUCAUAACAAGUCACAUGGGGAUAAUGAAGGAAUGGCCUAAAAUGCUCUCAGUAAUAUUCCUGAGUCAUCCCUCAGGGCUAGGCUUGGUGUUAGGCAUGGCGGGGAAGGGAGCAGAGCUGUGUGCAGAGGAAGAUGCAGUUCUUGCCUUGUCAGGGUCCCUGACCUGAUGGCGACCCAUGGUGGAGUCUUCAUAGUGACAGACACCACUGUAAAAGCAGAUCCAGGUUGUGCAACCCUCAAAGCAGGUCUCCUCACUCACCGGGAUAGAUAGACUAUUGGCCGUACCUGCAUCCACCGCUUGCCAUGGUUUCGUUGUGGGUGGAGGAUACUUUCCUGUCCCCUGGCUUUGGGUUUGCCCACGUGGCUUGCUCUGGCCUUGGAAUGAAGCAGAAACGAAAGGCUGCCAGUUCCGAGCCCACGUCUGAAGUCGCCUUAGGUGGUUCCGCGGGCCCCGUGCGCUCCCACCUUCACCCAGAGGGCCUUCUCUGGUGCAGCCGCUGCUUCUUCAGCCUCCGCCCAAAAGGAACGGAGCCCCCUGGCCGAUCCGCAGGCCUACAGGGAGCCACAGAGCGCAGCGGCUGGACCAGCGUUCAAGCCCAAGCACAGGCCUGCGAGAACCUUGUUCCAGCCGCCGUUUAGGAUGGUUGAUUAGGACGCGUUGCAGUGGCGGUAGCUCACCAAUCCAGUGCGUGCACCCGCUCCUUUAUUAGGCUAUAGAGCCAGUGGCUCCCACAGGGACCUGAUACAACAGUGCGUUAAAUAAGGAGCAUAUUGAGCUCUCAUGUCGUAAGCCAGUGGAGAAGUCCAGGGCUAGUGUGGGGGCUCCGGCGGGGGCUGUGGCCCCCAUCCGCAUGGAGCCUCCCCAUGGUUCACAGGUCUCAGUCUUCGGAGCCUUCGGCCCUGCGAGCCCGAACGGUCCACAGGGCGGCGCCAGACCCUCUUUCGAACGCCAUCCUCUAAAGCCUCGGCUCCAACCGGUUCCACUUCUUCAGGCUCAGGAUUUUCACUCUUCUCGAAUGGGGGUGGCCCUCCCCCAAUCUUCUGAGUCGCAACAGCAUCUCCCUCCCUCCAGGACCUCAGAGCCAGAGCUGGGCGAGAGGCCCUGACCUCCGGGGUAGGGUGGAAGCGUCCCUGUGAAGGUGCAGUCCUGCCUCCCAUCCCCAGGCGCCGGGCCUCUCCCACCCUCAGCGCCCUGCUCACCUCCAGCUGAAGAUGCCAGGGCACCUCUGCUUCCUCCCUGCCCUCUCUGCAGUACCGCCGAGUGUGCAUAAAAGGGUUUAAUAUAGGCUUUGCCGGGCGCGGGGACUCCCACCUGUAAUCCCAGUACGUUGAGAGACCAAGGCGGGAGGAUCACUUGAGGCCAGGAGUUCAAAACCAGCCUGGGCAACAAAGUGAGGCCCGUCUCUGAAAAAAAAAAAAAAAAAAAAAAAAGAAUAAA